ACACGCACACACCAUCGUAGGCCGCACAGAAAGAGAACGGAAAAAACGGAAAAUAGUCCUCAUUCUUCGCCCACCACUUGCCUGCAUCGAAAGGCAAACAAGCAAAUAGUUCGGGGGUCAGUGAAAGUGGCCAGUGCAGUGUAAGUUAAAUUGCUGAUAUUCCGGCCCCGUGUGGUGCCGGGUAGACGGUACCUUUCCGACACAGUGUCCCGUGGGAGUUUCACGGUUUGAGACACGGACAUAAGGAAGCACGCACGUGCAAAGUUUCGGAUCACGGCACAACCUAGCCGCGGGAAGAAAACGGAAACCCGCGUGAUCACGAUUCGUUCCCAGUACAACCGGAAUCACAAAGUAACGUGCCAUUUCUUGCAAUUCUGAAGCUGACGAAGAUCAAACACCUGGUGGCCCAAACUGGUACGAGGAGAGACGAAAGCGUUGGUUCGGAUUGAGCAGAAAAACCCCGCUGGGGUUUUUUUUUCUGUGGAGCCAACUUCCGUCAUCGAGAUCCGGGUGGAUCGGCAGCAUUGCGUCGCGAAGAAUUUCCGGAGCAACGAUUGCGUUUCGCAUGUCCGGCAGGACUGAGUCGAAGGAGACAGUCUCGGGAACAAGCAGCCCUUCAGUGCAUCACUCGGAGGGACCCCAUCCAGUUACGCGGUCGCACUGGACGGCCAGAGGGGUCUCCAGCAGAGUGAUUAGGAUGCAUGCGUGGGACGGCAGUGAAAUGCGGCAGGCGAGCAGUCGCGGCAGCGAGAGCUCCCCCGAAAUCUAGUGUAGGGUGACGCUUCGAACACAGAAGGUACAGCAGAUGCUGUGAAGAGACCGUGAGUACGAAAAAUCUAUGUUGUAAAUCAGAAAGACAGAGAAGGAGAAAUGAGAUGAGAAGAUAAGAGCUAGGUGGAGAAGAAGAUGAGGGCAAAUGCCCCAAAUAUAUGUAUGAAAUUAGA